rnacentral:rRNA from 1 species
CGGCGAACGGGUGAGCAAUAUGUUGGAACCUGCCCCGAACUCAGGGAUAUCUCGUCGAAAGACGAGUUAAUACCGGAUGGUCCCGCAAGGGUAAAGCUUUUGCGGUUCGGGAGGGGCCUACAGCCUAUCAGCUAGUUGGUAAGGUAACGGCUUACCAAGGCGAUGACGGGUAGCUGGUCUGAGAGGAUGAUCAGCCACAGGGGAACUGAGACACGGUCCCCACUCCUACGGGAGGCAGCAGUAGGGAAUCUUCCGCAAUGGGCGAAAGCCUGACGGAGCGACACCGCGUGAACGAUGAAGGUCGUAAGAUCGUAAAGUUCUUUUCUGAGGGAAUAAUUCUGAAGGUACCUUAGGAAUAAGUAACUGCUAACUACGUGCCAGCAGCAGCGGUAAUACGUAGGUUACAAACGUUAUCCGGAAUCAUUGGGCGUAAAGCGUCCGCAGGUGGCGAAUUAAGUCGGGUGUUAAAUGUUAUGGCCUAACCAUAACGCUGCAUUCGAUACUGGUUUGCUUGAGACUUCCAGAGGUAAACGGAAUUCUGUGUGUAGGGGUAAAAUCCGUAGAUAUACAGAAGAACACCAAAAGCGAAAGCAGUUUACUGGGGAAGUUCUGACACUCAUGGACGAAAGCGUAGGUAGCAAACAGGAUUAGAUACCCUGGUAGUCUACGCCGUAAACUUUGGAUACUAGGUGUUAGAGGGCUCGAUCUCUCUAGUGCUAAAGCUAACGCAUUAAGUAUCCCGCCUGGGUAGUACGAACGCAAGUUUAAAACUCAAAGGAAUAGACAGGGACCCACACAAGCGGUGGAGCAUCUGGUUUAAUUCG